rnacentral:lncRNA from 1 species
GGGUGGAGGGGAGUGGAGAUGCUCUAAUAAGGACUUCAACUCAUCGCGGCAAGUGGCUGGUUUCCUUACCGACAUAUCUGGUCAUCUAGCUAGUUGCUCCAACAUCACUACGAUGGUCCGUGACUAAGGGCAUGUACAAUGAUGCUAUGUUAGGAGUGUCAUGUAGAAUAAAUGAUGAGGUGGAGAGAAAGAAGUCAUAAAAAAGGUUUGUCUUCUCUUAUUCAAGAGAAGAUAAGAAAUGAUCUCUUAACACAAUAUGUCUCACCAUAUUUUUAGGAAUAGCUAGUUAUUAAAGAUAAAACUAAAAGAUGACCCAUUGUCAGACUUUUUUUUACCAUCUCUAAGUUAGAUGCAAGUGUUAAAAUAAGAUUAUCUUAUCA